GACGAACGCUGGCGGCGUGCCUAAUACAUGCAAGUCGAACGCAGGGGGGACGGGUGAGUAACACGUGGGUAACCUCCCAUCAGAGGGGAUAACACUUGGAAACAGGUGCUAAACCGAUACUGCUGGAUGGAGCCGCGGUGCAUUAGCUAGGUGGUGAGGGAACGGCUCACCAAGGCCACGAUGCAUAGCUGACCUGAGAGGAUGAUCGGCCACACUGGGACGGAGACACGGCCCAGACUCCUACGGGAGGCAGCAGUGGGGAAUAUGGCACAAUGGGCGCAAGCCUGAUGCAGCCAUGCCGCGUGUAUGAAGAAGGCCUUCGGGUUGUAAAGUACUUUCAGUCGGGAGGCGUUACCUACAGAAGAAGCACCGGCUAACUCCGUGCCAGCAGCCGCGGUAAUAC
rnacentral:rRNA from 1 species